CCUACGGGGGGCUGCAGUCGAGAAUCAUUCACAAUGGGGGAAACCCUGAUGGUGCGACGCCGCGUGGGGGAAUGAAGGUCUUCGGAUCGUAAACCCCUGUCAUGUGGGAGCAAAUUAAAAAGAUAGUACCACAAGAGGAAGAGACGGCUAACUCUGUGCCAGCAGCCGCGGUAAUACAGAGGUCUCAAGCGUUGUUCGGAAUGACUGGGCGUAAAGCGUGCGUAGGCUGUGUCGUAAGUCGUGUGUGAAAGGCGCGGGCUCAACCCGCGGAUGGCAAAUGAUACUGCGAGACUAGAGUAAUGGAGGGGGAACCGGAAUUCUCGGUGUAGCAGUGAAAUGCGUAGAUAUCGAGAGGAACACUCGUGGCGAAGGCGGGUUACUGGACAUUAACUGACGCUGAGGCACGAAGGCGAGGGGAGCGAAAGGGAUUAGAUACCCGAGUAGUC
rnacentral:rRNA from 1 species